CUAAUCGUAAACGAUGACAACCAGCGAUUAAUCGGCGUUAAUAUAUGACCCGAUUAGCAGCUUCCGGGAAACCAAAGUUUUUCGUUUCCGGGGGAAGUAUGGUUGCAAAGCUGAAACUUAAAGGAAUUGACGGAAGGGCACCACCAGGAGUGGAGCCUGCGGCUUAAUUUGACUCAACACGGGAAAACUCACCCGGCCCGGACACCGUAAGGAUUGACAGACUGAGAGCUCUUUCUUAAUUCGGUGGGUGGUGGUGCAUGGCCGUUCUUAGUUGGUGGAGCGAUUUGUCUGGUUAAUUCCGAUAACGAACGAGACUCUGGCCUAUUAAAUAGACGAUAUAUUUAAAAGUAUAUCGCGCUUCUUAGAGGGACAAGCGGCGUCUAGCCGCAUGAAAUAGAGCAAUAACAGGUCUGUGAUGCCCUUAGAUGUCCGGGGCUGCACGCGCGCUACACUGAAAGAAUCAGUGUGCGUUACGCCUAGUUCGGAAGAACCGGGUAACCCAAGUAAAUUCUUUCGUGCUUGGGAUAGGGAAUUGCAAUUAUUUCCCUUAAACGAGGAAUUCCCAGUAAAUGCGGGUCAUAAGCUCGCGUUG
rnacentral:rRNA from 1 species